GCAGAAACAAAUUAAAAAUUAAAUUAAAUUCAUCCCGUAAUUGGGGUAGACAACUCUAUAUCUAUGUUGCGCAACAAAAUAAUAUUUACAAAUUAGAUCACUUUCGAUCCGUGAGGGGUGAUUCAAAAUCAAAUUGAGCCCCUGCAGCAAACUGUCUCUGCAGAUGACAGAUGCAAAAACGUCACGACUGACACGUCGCCGAACUGUCAAAGCAUAACGCAAUGUUUACUUUUCAUUCAUCAGUUCGGUCGACUGUACAGUUUUCGUGGACAGUUUUUCGGUUUUUUGGCCAGAUUUCGUCAUGUAAUGUUGGUAUGUUUUGGUAAAUACUUACAAAAUCGGUGAAUGAACAUAACGAAGAAAAUCUUCGUUCAAAAUUUCCUUUGUUUUUAGCCCAUUAAAGGACAAACUUUCGUGGCGUUUUGCUGCCAGUGCGUCAUCUUCGCGAGGAAGAUGAGCCUGCAGAAACCCACUAAAUUCCCGGGAUGAACCGUGGAAGCCAUCUUGGCUAGGCAAGAUGCACUUCAGGUUUGGCACUACUGGCCUUCAUUUGUGGCACUACCACUCCACAUCCGGCGCUCGGACACAAGGGCACAACGGAUUGCCCCUUGGUCGUCUCAUCGGAUGCCAGUGCAGCUAUGAACCGCCAGCAUAAACAUAACAGGUUCGCCAUUCCAUCACUUCGUUCUCGCCGUAAUCAUCCGGGUCUUCGGGUUGAUCCGAUCGUGAGCUCCGAAGGUAUAUUAACCCUUCACCAACUCCCGUGGACAGCCAACCCUCGGUCGGAUUUCUGACGUAAAUCCGAAGUGUGGAAUGUAACUACAAAUAAAAGGGACUAAUAAAACUUAUUAAAAUCUUCGCACAACCUCUCCUCGAUUGGCAAAUCCGGAUCUUUCUUCCCCAUCUCCGAAAUCAAUCCGACAAUCUCUUCCAAAUCAGGGUCUAUUUCCGUUUCCAAAUCAUUUCCAUUUCCGUUUAGCAAAGUUAUCACAGAUGAUUGUAUUUUCCUAAUUUCAUGUUCAAAUUCUUUAAAUUUAUGUUUGGCCUUAUGCUUGACCUGCGACGAUUUCGUCGGCUUUGGCAGGUUCCUUGCCGAACUGCCCAUGGCUGAGUCCGACGACCUACUCGAUUCUAGUCCUUGGUUUUUCUUAAAUUUCACAGACCGCGGCCGACUCUUCGGGGAACUUCCGUUGCCCGAAUCCGGCGAAGAUCGCGACUGCUUCUUCUUCAAUUUCUUGCCUACGAACUAGGUCACGCCGGAAGAGUUGCAUGAUGCGCUUCACCUUAACAACGUCCUGCGGUAGCAAAGUUCUCUCAGCUCUAAGUUCUUCGAGGAACUCAAGAUUGAAUUCUACAUCUUUUACUAAUUCUUCCAGGGGGUAAUUAGGAUGAUUAGAGCCGACGGGACUGGGCAUCUCGGCUAGACCUUCAACGUCCGAGAAGUCUGCGUCGUACUCCUCACCCUGCCAUUCCACUCUCCUCCAUUCCACUUUCUUUAGUUUUAUUCUUUUCCUUCGUGUCAUUGUGUAUGGAGCGAGAUGUGUCGACUGCAGUGCAAGUCGUAAAAUUUUAAUUUUGUCUAGGUGGUGGGUUCAUGUGUGUUGUUGUUUGGUGUUAUUGAUUACAGGGAUGCAUGUGUGGGUUCAUAAUCUAUGUAAUAUGUUCCAUGUGAGUUCAAUCGGUUUCCGAACAACACAAAUUGCCCAAAACCACGAAUUUUUCAAAGCCGAAAACGGCUAAACAAAGCGUUGAGUAAGCGCAAAAACGCUCAAUUGAUUUAAGACCGUUUAAGGCACUAACACAGAUUUUUGGUCGGGGCGGGGAAAGUGUGCAGGUGAUGAAAGCCGUGCUAGCACGGAUCCCUGCCACCUCCCGAAGGAAAAAUCCUUAGAUUUUUACACCACCCGGUCAAACUUGAUCGCUUUUCGUGCUUUCCGCUAGGAAGCCAAUUGAAACUCAUGACUUUUCAGUAUCAAGGUGGACUAGCUCAUUCCUUUUUCAGGGCAGAGAUCAUCUACUUACAGGUAGUCGUAGACCUAAGCUACUAACUACUCAUCACUCAGGGUCGGCAUUUCUACUCAGCGAUUCAAGUGAGACACGGAUGAAAUAAGGAAUCAAGAACCACAAUUUUCUAAUCAAAACGUGUAUUUUCUGGAUAAGUGUAGGGUGUAGGUGUGUGUGGGGAAUGUAAGGCACUUCAGGGGCAACGUACCGUUCAGCAGCUGGACUCGCAGCGAGGCUUCGCUGACUCCACUCCAAUCCUCGAACGCCUUCGGCGUUCACCUGCUCCAAGGCCGGUCACAGGAGCGCCCUCGACUGUGCCGCCGCGAUCCCGUAA